AUGCUCCGGCCACCCCCGCGUCUGCCGCUCCCAGAUCCGGCCUCCACGUCGUCUGCUCCCCCCUUCCCUCCUGCCAGGAAUCAGGUGUGGGAGCUGUGCCCCGGCGACCCCGCACCGUCUCUCCCGUCUUCACCGGCAGCUCCCCAUCGGCCACCCUCAACGCUGGUCCACGCCCCAGCGAGCGCGCUGUCGCCGCCUUCUGCUGAGAUGUCUGCUGGCUCCGCACCGUGCGUCGUCCCGCAGCCAACCCCGUCUGUUGCUCGAUCCCAUCUGGAUCGGGCCCCGCCGGCGCUGGGCUGCUCCGUCCAUGCUGUUGGCGGGUCAGGGAAGGUGCCCGUGGUGUCUCCGAGCAAGUUGGUUGCCCCUGUGCGUGCGCCCGUGCGGCUGCCCGUGCGGGCCUCUGCUGCGUCGAUCUGUGUCGUGGAGGGCCCGGUGGGGAUUUGCUCUCCCGUCGCCGCGCCACCGCAUCUCGGCUCGGGUCGGCCUGAGCCCGAGUCAUGGACCUCUCUCGCCGCUGACGACGACGACGACGAUGAAGAGGAGCUGGCCCCUAUGACACCGCCUGCUGCCAAGGCCUCGGCCCCGGCCGCUGCUCUGCCGGACGUGGUGGUGAAGGCGAGCAAGGGAUGGCAGGAGGUGUUGCCCCGGCGUGGUCCGCGUCGCCCGACGUCGCUAGCCCCUGCAAUGGCUCCCCGUCCAAUCCCUGCUUGGCUGUACGGUAGAUGUUGCAGAUGCUUCGCUCCUGGGCAUCGUGCGGCCGACUGCAGAGAUCUGCUUUGGUGCUCCCGUUGCUUGGAGAACGGUCACCGUGCGCGCGGAUGCCGCAAUCCUUGGCGUCCUCCAAGUUCUUUGGCAUGCCUUGCCAUGCCGCCAGUCCUCGGUUCCAUGCGCCAUCCUGCUCUAGCUUCAUGUAAGGGUGCAAUGAAAUCCGUGCUCCCCUCCAAGGCGCUUCACCAUGGGUCUUGA
rnacentral:rRNA from 1 species